GAUGAACGCUGGCGGCGUGCCUAAUACAUGCAAGUCGAGCGAACAGACGAGGAGCUUGCUCCUCUGACGUUAGCGGCGGACGGGUGAGUAACACGUGGAUAACCUACCUAUAAGACUGGGAUAACUUCGGGAAACCGGAGCUAAUACCGGAUAAUAUAUUGAACCGCAUGGUUCAAUAGUGAAAGACGGCUUUGCUGUCACUUAUAGAUGGAUCCGCGCCGCAUUAGCUAGUUGGUAAGGUAACGGCUUACCAAGGCAACGAUGCGUAGCCGACCUGAGAGGAUGAUCGGCCACACUGGAACUGAGACACGGUCCAGACUCCUACGGGAGGCAGCAGUAGGGAAUCUUGCGCAAUGGGCGAAAGCCUGACGGAGCAACGCCGCGUGAGUGAUGAAGGUCUUCGGAUCGUAAAACUCUGUUAUUAGGGAAGAACAGAUGUGUAAGUAACUAUGCACGUCUUGACGGUACCUAAUCAAAAAGCCACGGCUAACUACGUG
rnacentral:rRNA from 1 species